rnacentral:rRNA from 1 species
GACCAGACUCCUACGGGAGGCAGCAGUGGGGAAUAUUGCACAAUGGGGGAAACCCUGAUGCAGCGACGCCGCGUGAGCGAUGAAGUAUUUCGGUAUGUAAAGCUCUAUCAGCAGGGAAGAAAAUGACGGUACCUGACUAAGAAGCCCCGGCUAACUACGUGCCAGCAGCCGCGGUAAUACGUAGGGGGCAAGCGUUAUCCGGAUUUACUGGGUGUAAAGGGAGCGUAGACGGCAAUGCAAGCCAGAUGUGAAAGCCCGGGGCUCAACCCCGGGACUGCAUUUGGAACUGUGUAGCUGGAGUGUCGGAGAGGCAGGCGGAAUUCCUAGUGUAGCGGUGAAAUGCGUAGAUAUUAGGAGGAACACCAGUGGCGAAGGCGGCCUGCUGGACGAUGACUGACGUUGAGGCUCGAAAGCGUGGGGGGCAUACAGGAUUAGAUACCCGAGUA